GAUGAACGCUGGCGGCGUGCCUAAUACAUGCAAGUCGAGCGAACGGACGAGAAGCUUGCUUCUCUGAUGUUAGCGGCGGACGGGUGAGUAACACGUGGAUAACCUACCUAUAAGACUGGAAUAACUUCGGGAAACCGGAGCUAAUACCGGAUAAUAUUUUGAACCGCAUGGUUCAAAAGUGAAAGACGGUCUUGCUGUCACGUAUAGAUGGAUCCGCGCUGCAUUAGCUAGUUGGUAAGGUAACGGCUUACCAAGGCAACGAUGCAUAGCCGACCUGAGAGGGUGAUCGGCCACACUGGAACUGAGACACGGUCCAGACUCCUACGGGAGGCAGCAGUAGGGAAUCUUCCGCAAUGGGCGAAAGCCUGACGGAGCAACGCCGCGUGAGUGAUGAAGGUCUUCGGAUCGUAAAACUCUGUUAUUAGGUAAGAACAUAUGUGUAAGUAACUGUGCACAUCUUGACGGUACCUAAUCAGAAAGCCACGGCUAACUACGUG
rnacentral:rRNA from 1 species